rfam:Poecilia formosa, whole genome shotgun sequence.
GUGGGCUACGGGGAUAUUUACCCACAGACUUUACUUGGAAAGAUCGUCGGUGGACUCUGCUGUAUUGCAGGGGUGCUAGUCAUUGCCCUACCAAUCCCUAUCAUUGUCAACAAC